rnacentral:snRNA from 1 species
GCUGGGCAUGUGCUCGCUUCGGAAUGAUACAGAGAAGGUUAGCAUGGCCCCUGCACAAGGAUGACAUGCAAAUUCGUGAAGCAUUCCAUAUUUAU